CUCUGAGGCCGUGGCAGGGCACAGAUCAUGAAGAACAGUUGAUCCCAGACCAAAGCCCACAUAGAACUGAGGAUGUGUAAAGGGUAUAUGACUGGCUCACUCCUUGGUUUAAAGCCACUUUAAUCUAGGACGUUGGGGAAACCAGAGAGCAUGUCGAUUCCAUUAAGGAAAGAAGAGAAAUGCUUAUGGAAACAGUACCACCUGCAUAUCCAUUGGCCUCCCCUUCCCGACCUCCACCCUGCUGUUACCCAUCAGUCAUCUGAAAGGAAGAUCCCACAGAGUUGACAGAGUCCUUUACAGAGAAGAUCGUCAUAUGCUCUCCGUAGGUUACCUGUCUAUUUAAGAAGCAAACCUCUCGUCACCUGCUGCGGAGCAUCUCGAUGUUAGAAACCACACCACUAUUUUUAGUGUGUGUCCUUGUGCUUCUGCACGAUGAGUCAGGGUUCUCUUUUUAAAAAUACUUGGCAUUCCUCAGAAGAAAGAUAAACACAUUUAAUGUUCUCAGUUGCUACUAUUCUAAUCACCAAGUCAAGAGUUGCUUCUUUUCUUAGCUGCCUCCAGUGCCACAGAACUAUCUGGGCCUCUUCCUCUACCCCGCCUCGUGUGAUCACUCCUUUCAAAAGCAGCAGCCAAAGCAGAUGCGAGGGAGAUGCACUGGUGCUCAUAAAUUCAAGGAGCUAAAAUGGCAACAGCUGUGGCAAUUUCAGGAUUUCAGCAGGUAAUCAAGUGCAAACUGGGGUGCUGUCAAGCAACCUGGUGCUGAGGGGGCAGAGCCAGGAUGGACCCGGAUUCUGGAUUUCCACCAUGUGCCUGGUGGAUACCAUGCGGAUGUGGAGCAGGCAAUGCUGGGUGCAAAUCCCCGCCAGGAACUGUUCAUCCUGAAAAAAACCUGCUGCACAUUGCCCUGGUCACCUCAACGAAAAAUCCUGCCUGGAGGAGCAGGGUGCCCUGCCCUAUCUGCACUGGACACUUGGGACCACAGCCGCUGCCCUGUGAGGAACAUGGCAUCUUAACCAGUAAUCACAAGCAGAAAAUGCUUUCAAAGUGGAGUGACAGGCAGCUGCAUUAGGUAAGCUUCAAGUUCUAAAGUCCCGUGACUAACACCCCUCCUGGUUUCUGCAGACUGUUGAAUAUAAAAGGUUUCUAUUAUGCAAACUACCAAAAUUAUAGGAUC
rnacentral:lncRNA from 1 species